rnacentral:rRNA from 1 species
AGUGAACGCUGGCGGCAGGCCUAACACAUGCAAGUCGAACGGCAGCGGGCAGUAGCAAUACUGUGCCGGCGAGUGGCGGACGGGUGAGGAAUACAUCGGAAUCUACCCUGUCGUGGGGGAUAACGUAGGGAAACUUACGCUAAUACCGCAUACGACCCAUGGGUGAAAGCGGCGGACCGCAAGGCGUCGCGCGAUUGGAUGAGCCGAUGUCCGAUUAGCUAGUUGGCGGGGUAAAGGCCCACCAAGACGAUGAUUGGUAGGGGAACUGAGAGGUCAAUCCCCCACACUGGCACUGAGAUACGGGCCAGACUCCUACGGGAGGCAGCAGUAGGGAAUAUUGGGCAAUGGGCGCAAGCCUGACCCAGCCAUGCCGCGUGCAGGAAGAAGGCGUUAUGCGUUGUAAACUGCUUUUAUACAGGAAGAAACGACCCUUGCGAGGGGCAUUGACGGUACUGUAUGAAUAAGUACCGGCUAACUCCGUGCCAGCCGCCGCGGUAAGAC